rnacentral:lncRNA from 1 species
GCUACUGUAGCACAUGUUCUGUUUCUCAUUCUCUUAGCUUUGAUUACCUAUUCAUGGCAAGAUUUGUUAUUCUCGGCUUGGACUUUGGACAAGCAUGCUUUUGAGCCCUUUUUUAACUGUUCACCAUGUUAUCACCGUCUUAGCGUCCAUGUUUGCGUUCUCGUUUCUGUUCAUGUAAAUAUAAUGGAAACUCAAUUUAUUAUUUAUAUAAUGUGGAAAUGUGAAUGCUUUUGUUCCUGAGACGUUCCCAAAACAUAGAAUAUGAAAACGCGAACGUAGGUCAUGUUCCCUUUUUCAAGUUAUUUUGAAAAAAGUCGUGCUUUUCUUUACCCUUUAUUUAAUUGCAUCACAUAUCUCUUAGCCUUUCACCUCUUCCUUAGCUCUUCAUUUUAUUUUUCUAAUAUGAUCGGAUAUGAUCGUCAUAACUGUCUACAAAUACAUGCUCAAUAAAAAGUUUGACUUGCUUAAGAGUUAAGAGCAAAACUUAUUAGCACACGCAAUACUUAGCAUGUGUUUGACACCACAAAAACGUUACCGCAUACACAAAUAUAUUCCAACAUUGUAGGCACCUUGCAAGCUCAAUUCUUCAAGAUUAUUAGACAAGCAAAUAUUACUGUAGAUACUUUGGCAAAACAAGCUCAAAGUACAAUUCCAUCUACACA